rnacentral:tRNA from 1 species
GUAAAUAUAGUUUAAAAAAAACAUUAGAUUGUGAAUCUAAUAAUAGAAGCUUAUAACUCCUUAUUUACC